rnacentral:rRNA from 1 species
GACGAACGCUGGCGGCGUGCUUAACACAUGCAAGUCGAACGGAAAGGCCCUGCUUUUGUGGGGUGCUCGAGUGGCGUACGGGUGAGUAACACGUGAGUAACCUGCCCUUGACUUUGGGAUAACUUCAGGAAACUGGGGCUAAUACCGGAUAGGAGCUCCUGCUUCAUGGUGGGGGUUGGAAAGUUUCGGCGGUUGGGGAUGGACUCGCGGCUUAUCAGCUUGUUGGUGGGGUAGUGGCUUACCAAGGCUUUGACGGGUAGCCGGCCUGAGAGGGUGACCGGCCACAUUGGGACUGAGAUACGGCCCAGACUCCUACGGGAGGCAGCAGUGGGGAAUAUUGCACAAUGGGCGGAAGCCUGAUGCAGCAACGCCGCGUGCGGGAUGACGGCCUUCGGGUUGUAAACCGCUUUCGCCUGUGACGAAGCGUGAGUGACGGUAAUGGGUAAAGAAGCACCGGCUAACUACGUG